GUCCGUGUAAAAACUAAAAAGAGUCCGUGUAUCAUCUAAAAAGAGUCCGUGUAACACCCGUUAAUGUACUGUUUUUCUAUAGCUCUGCGGGGGGCAAAGUCGUACAAUCACCGUUACCGUUUUUUUAUACUAUGACGCAAAAUCCAUGGACGCUCACGCGAUCUGCUGUUGUCAUUUAAAAAGUCUGAAUGGAGAGAGAUAGAUGAUACAAAGAACUUUGGUUUUUCAAACUGGUGAAUCAAAAUUUAUUAUAAACGGAUAAAUUGAAAUGGGUGACUUGUCGAUUAACUGGAAGAAACCGGGGAACGAAACAUAGAAAAUUUAUAGAAAGUCAACGCAACGAAACAGCGAAAGUGUUUUUGUUUUGAUGGAUAGUUUUACGUACCCUAAAAGCACAACGAAAGCAUUUUCAAUGAAAGUACAUUUUGUACUUCAAGAAGUAGAAGAAUAUAAGCAACAGAACAGAAUUCAUUUGAGGCAUUGCUUUCUAGAUUAUAUAAUGGAUUCAUAGAUUGUCAUAUUGAUUUAUGUGCAUAUAAGGAGCAGCAGGCAAUAAUUAUUUUGUGAUGAGAGCUUGUUACCAUGGUUACCAAAUGAAAGGAAAGUACAGUAUUAGAAUCACUGGUGUACCAUGUAGGUGCGGAUGUCAGGCAAAAAGAACUGGUAUCAAAGAACUGAAAAGUAAAGAAACAGAACCAAAGAACAUUAAUUUUUAAUUAAUACAAUAUUGAGCUCAAA